rnacentral:rRNA from 1 species
UACGAAGGGGCUAGCGUUGUUCGGAGUUACUGGGCGUAAAGGGCGCGUAGGCGGCGCAUCAAGUCAGGCGUGAAAGCCCUGGGCUCAACCCGGGAAUUGCGCUUGAGACUGGUGUGCUUGAGUACGGGAGAGGAUAGUGGAAUUCCCAGUGUAGAGGUGAAAUUCGUAGAUAUUGGGAAGAACACCAGUGGCGAAGGCGGCUAUCUGGACCGUAACUGACGCUGAGGCGCGAAAGCGUGGGGAGCAAACAGG